rnacentral:lncRNA from 1 species
AAGGAGCAAUUAAGUAGAUAGUGGUUUUUGAAGAUUUCUUAUUUCUUAUUGAGGUAUAACAACUAAAUAUAAUAAAAGGUUUCAUCAUGUAAUUUUCAAAUAUGCACAUUAUAUAACUUUAUCAUAUAUUUUAUGUUCAAUAGUUCAACUACUUAUAAUUGAUAUCUAACAUAUUUUCGUAUUGUCUACAAAUAGGGUGAUGAUUUUAAAACAGGAUUUAAUGUUGGCUAUGAAGUUUCCCAAAGUGUACAAACAGCCUUUUUAUUGGAAGAGAAAAUUUAGUUUCCAUUGCAUAUAAGAGAGUUUUUAAACUCAAAACUUUCAAUAAUAGUGAAUCUGAAUGAGUAAAAUAAAUCAUAUUAUUAAUUGAAUUAGUGAAAAAAGUUUAAAAAUUUAAGAUUACUUUUAAAAGUAUAUCUAUCUAUUAUAUAGCUAGCUAUAAGGAAACUAAUCAUUUUAACAAACAUUUUAAUAAUGUUUAAUAACUGUUAAAACAUAAUUUAUGCAUUUUAACUUUGAAACAAAAAUUAAUAAUAAAUAAUAAAACAAAAUAUUUGAUCAGUAAGUCUUUGGAAUGCUCCAAUCUUGCAGGCAAACCUUUUCCAAAUCUGUAGGUAUUGACAGGGGAGUUAAUCUGAAUUGUGCAACUAGGAAGUUUCAACACAGGAACAAAGCUUAGAGUUGUGAAUGCAAAUGUUAUGAUAAUUAAUGUGACUAGAAAAAUGUACUGUUCAUGUAAUUGUGUAUGUCAUUGUGUCCUCAGGGCUGAUUCAUUUGAUUCAGAUCAAUAUACUGUUGUGGGAUAAUUGAUUCUAAAAUAUUGUGCUGUAGAUUAAGCAUAUGGAAUCUAUAUUUAUUUAGAAACAUAAAUAUGUUUGCUACUCAAAUAGUUACAGUCAUAAGCUCUUGGUGACUUAUAUCGUUUGUCAAAACAUACAAAACAAGGUAGAACUGACUCAUUUCAUAUGGUAGAUAUAUUUCAUAUUAUUUACUCUUGUCCUUUAUAAAAACACUUUAGGAUUUCCUGUUACAGAAUAAUAGCUUAAUAAGCAGUUUUAUUAGCUAAGCAUUUUAACUAUUGCAUUUAUCCUAAACACAUUGCUGCUAAUGAGUUAUCUGGAGAAAGUGCUGAAUAAAGAGCUUUAAAAGAAGACAAGUCCUACAUUUAUGAGUGCUGCCUCUGAUUUUUAAUCUAUCCAUAAAUUCAUAUAGAAUGUGAUGGCAGACCUUGAUAGCACUUACACCUUUCAGUGUUUCUGAAUCAUAGAUAGCAUAUUUCAAAAGUUUGGGUCAGAUAUUUUGGCUCCCACAAUUAUAAUUGCAAAAGUCAUAUAUUUACGGUGAAAUUAAUAGAAAUAGCAUAUGGAGGAGCCAACAUUUUCUUUGACUUGAGUAUGGCAAUGCCCAACAAUUUAUUAAAUGUGCUCUAAUUGUUGUAUGUGAUCUUCCAGUAAAGCAGCAACAGACCUGGAUGAAGUCGCCCAUAGAUCUCUACUCCCCUUAUCAUCUCAGACCACAUUUUUAAACCAUUGCUUUUCUGAAAGUUUUCUUUGACCAAUAAAAUGUGCUUUGCUUCCUGUAAAGCAGGUAGGAAGGGACAAGAUACUAACAUUCUGCUAAGGGACAGAUUUCCUGUGAUCAGUAUGGCUGUCUUCAUUCAGACCUCUUAAGCAGACAAGCUAGGUGUUUUGUAUUGGCUCUCAUACCCCAUACUUGCAGGGUAGACAUUUUUCACUCUCUUUUCUCCUAUUCUUUGCUAUGCUUCUCCCCCUGCUCAGUUCUUGAUUCCACUAAUGAAUUCUGUUUAAAAUUGGCCCAUGGUAAGUUACAGAUAUUAAUAUUGAGAUAAGAAAAUGCUUCUAGGAAAUCUAUGUCAAACUAAUACUACAAAUUUGUAUUUGAUCAUAUGUUCAUUCUCAGUCAUGACUGCAAAAUGAUACUUUGUACCUGAAGAUUUUAGAAAGCACAUUUACUGAGGUAAAACUUACAUAAUAACAUGUAAUUAGUUUAAAAGUAUAGUUUAAUAGACUUGUACCUAGCUGUAUUCCUCAUUACAACCCUAACAUAGAACAUCCCCAUUACCCUAAAAUGUUCACCUUAAAAUGUCUUUUUGUAGUCAGUGUAACACCACAAAUGAUAUGCCAUUUUUCAACAUAUAUUAACCUUUUCUUGUUCUAGGUUUUCAUGUAAAAUAUACAUUCAUUUUUACUAGCUUCCCAGGUUCUAUACUGUUUUUGAGAAUCAUUCAGUUUAUGUCCUAUGAAUCACUCGGAUUUUAGCUAUUAUGAAGAAUGUUUCUUUGGAUAUUUAUGAAUAUGUUCUAUGUGGUGUUAAGUCUUAUUCCUUUAGGGUAAAUACUUAUGAUUAGAAAUAUGGGUUUUGUGAUCAUAAGAGUGUACUUUUGCAAAAAAGAGCAACUAGAUUAUGAAAUGGUUUCAUUAGUUUUAUAUUCCUAUGGACGGUUUAGAGUUAUAGUUGUCUUGUGGACUUCUCACAUUGGGUAUUGUCUGUCUUAUUUAUUAUAAGUCAUAUGUAAAACUACCUGCAAGUAGAUUAACUUUGUAUUUUCUUCAUGAUAUGUGAUUCAGGGUACUAUCUUAGAUACUUAUUAACAAUGUAUAAAUAUAUUAUUUUUUAUAGUCUAUUGAAAUAUUUUUAUUUUCAAAUUGAACUGUAGAAUUUCUAUUCAUCAUUUUGAAGUACAUAUUGUGGACAUUAAACUUUGUCAGAUAAGCAAUUUUGUCCACUCUUAGCUUACUCUCUAGUUUUAUUAAUGAGGUUUUAAGAAAAAAAUUUCAAAGUCUUAUUUAAAUAGUUGAUGCAUUACUGUUAUCUUAACAUUUUUGUCUCUAUAUAUUUUAUUUCAGAAUUAUCUGAGCAUAGUUAUUUUCAUUGAGAUAUAUGAUAUGUUUAAAGUUAGCUUUUGUGUUCUGUGGAAAAGUUGGUGCAGUGUCUUCAAAGGGGAAUAAUUUUCUUCCACUAUCUUUGUUGACAAAACUGUGCUUCCUGUUAAAUUAACAAAAUUUUGUAAAAAUCAGUGAUUGAACAUAUGUACAUGGUCUACUUUUCAACAUAUUUGUGUCACUUUGACAUCUAUGUCUAUGCAUUUUGAUAUAUGCUGAGUUCAUUGUUAUUAUGUGUUUUCAAAGUAUUCUUGUCUUAACCCAUGAUAUGUUUAAUUUACAAAUAUUUAAGAAUUUUCACAUUUCUUUUGGCUACUAAUUUUUAUCUUCUCUAUGGCUCAGAGAAAUAGCCUACAUGAGUGUCAUCUCUAGAUUUAUUGUGAGUUAUUUUGUAGGUCAGCAUAUAUUCUAUUAGUUAAGAUUUGUUCAUAUGACCUUAAAAGUGAUGUUUUACUGUUUUUAUUGUAAAGUAUAAUGUCAACUGUUUCAGGUUGGUAGCAAACAUUUAGACACUCAAUAUCCUUUCAGAUUUUGUGCAUAUAUGAUUUUCCAUUGUUAAGUAUAUUAAAAUUUGAAACUAUUAAUAUUACUUUCAUCCUAUUUCUCAUUUAUGUCAUUUUAAAGUAGAUGUCCCUUCUAUCUAUCUAUCAUCUAUCUAUCUAUCUAUCUAUCUAUCUAUCUAUCUAUCUAUCUAUCUAUUUUACGAGUCUGUGGUACACGUAUGUGAGUUCAUGUCCAGCACAUAUAAAUUAGCUGCUGUAGUUCCCAGGAACUGAAUACAGAAGCCUUUCAUAAGAGUUAAUGCUCUUAUUUUUUUAAACACCUAUUUAGCUGUAGGUCUGCCAUUUUUUUGCUGCAUGCAUUUUUGUGAAUAUAUUAUUCAGUAUCUACAGAGCUAGUACAUAAUAUCUUCUUGACAAAUCAUGGCUCUUUUUUAUAUUUUGAAAUAUUGUCAUUUUCCAUGGUAAUAGUUAUUAAUCAACAAAUAUUUAAAUCACAAGCAACCAAAACUUGUUUUAAAAGUAAAUCCAAACUUAUAACCUACUUUGAAUCAAAAGAAGGGGCUUGUAUAUACUUGAGAAGUGCUCUACCACUGGGCUGCAACAUACCCUCAAAAUAGUUCUGGAGAAUUGAAUAUACUCUACUCCAUUUUCCAAAGUUCCCUGUAUAAACAAUGGAAUGCUUACACUUUUUUUUAAAAAAGUCAUGUUAAAACUAGCUGAGGGAAGUAAUGAC